CUUCAGAUCCACUGGAGCCUGUUGGACUUGAGCCCGGAGAAGCACAUGUUGCUACUGCAGCUGCCUUGGUAACUGGGGGGGCAGGCGGAACAUGGCCUCCCCAUCUUGUACGGUGCCUCGCCCAGCCAGUUGCCCCUGGGGAGAGAACAGAGGCCCAGGGAGCCGCGGUCGGAGGUCAGGAGAGUGAAGUCAGUGACUUUUCACCCAGACGUCCAGGUCUCAGCACGGUACCCACUGGCUGCAUGACUUUGGGCCCCAGGCCCUGUACUCUUCACUGUCCUCACAGGGAGGCGGCCAAGGCCAAAGGCGGCCCCGCGUGGGUGCACCCCGCACCGUGCCAGGCCAACAGGUUACUUCUCUCCCCACCCCCUGAGUCUGCCACCUCCAGCCGGUGACAGGAUCAGCCUCCUCAUUUCUGGGAUGUGAUUUUAGUCCUCUGGAGAAAAUGACCUGACUCCAGUUGCCUGCUAAGGUGCCCCCUGGGAGGCAGCAGGUGAUAGUCCGUAUGCUUGGGUCCCUGCUACCCGCAUGGGAGACCUGGAUUGAGUCCCAGGCUCCUGGCUUCUGCCUGGCCCAGUCCCAGCUCUUGAGGACAUUUGGGGAGUGGACUGGUAGAUGAGGGAUCUCUCGGUUUCUCUCCUUCAAAUAAGAAAAAAAAUAUAACUAUAUAUAGUUACAUAUUCUAUAUAUAGUUACAUAUUCUAUAUAUAGUUACAUAUUCUAUAUAUAGUUAUAUGUUCUAAAACUCAGCGGUGGGUUGUAUGGCAAAUGAAUUCUGUCUUAACAGCUGUCUGUUUUUCUACAGGCAGGCCCUGCUUCCGUGCGAUCGCUGUCCCAUCGAGCUUUUGGGGACUGCCCUUUUCCACGCAGGCAGAGACCGGCAAGCUUGUUCUGUAAAGAAGCAGGUGUAAAUACAAAGAGACUUCAAAAAGCUCAAGGAAAACAGCAUUAAAGGAUAAGUUCAUUUUGAUGAAGACCCAGGCAUGAAGAAGUGGAGUAAAAUCACAAAUCUGAACCCCGGCAGUCUCGCCUUAGAACCUGUUCUUGUCUUCGUGUGAGCUUGCACACUGCAUGUUGGGAGAAUGUUCAUCCGCCUUUCCCCAUAGUUCCAAGAGACUUGUGUCUGAAGCCAGCGCCCGGCCUGUCUCUCAGCAUGCUGCAGUCUGGGGGAAGCUGCUGCGCAGGCUGUCUCUACCCUGCCCCCCUGCCUAGGGGAUCUACCUGCCCGUGGGCAGCUCGCAGUCCUGGUUGAAUAUUUCUGGGAGUAAGUGUGGAGGGGCCGGCCCUGCUCCUGUCAGAAGAACCUGUGGCUGUGCAGCGUGGCCUGCCGCGGGUGUGCAGGGUCUGACUCAACAGUGAGCUACUGGAGGGGGGCUGAGCGUCCAGCACGGUGGUUAGGAUGCGCUUGAGACACCUGCAUCCCAGAUCACACUGCCGGGGUUUGAAACGCACCUCUGCUUCCAAUUCCGGUUUCCUGCUGGUGUGCAACCCGGGAAGGCAGCUGACGAUGGAUCAAGCACUUGCAUCCUUGGCACCCAUUUGGGAGACCUGGAUUGAGUUCCCCAGGUUCCCAGCUUUGGCCUGAUCCAGCCCUGGCUGUUGCUGCCAGUCAGGGGAGUGACAGGGGACAGAAGAUCCCCCCCCCCACACACACACACAAGUCUAGCCCUAGCUCUCUAUUUCCAUCUCUCUCUCUGCCUUUCAAAUAGAAUGACAAAAAAAUAAGUAAAUACAUUUUAAAAGCA